GUGAUUUUAUAAGAUGUAGUUGUUAUUGUUAGUUAGGUUGUUGUUGCUGUUGGUAUAGUUAGUUAGAUUGUGUGUCAUUAUUUGUAUGUUGCUGUUGUUUUGUCUCUGAAUAAAUAUUUGUUAAAGUAGACGGACCAGAGUUUAUAUGUGUAUGCGUACAUAAUAAUUUAUAGAGUUUGGUAAUUUACCACAGACCAUAUCUCUGAACUAUUGGAGGACUACACAUAUUAACCUUAAGUAUAUCUUUCAGCUAUUUGUCUACAAUAUCAUUUAUUGAUGAACU